rnacentral:rRNA from 1 species
GAGUUGGACCUGCCCAGUGAUAUAUAUUUAACGGCCGCGGUACUCUGACCGUGCAAAGGUAGCAUAAUCAUUUGCCUUAUAAUUAAAGGCUUGUAUGAACGGUUUGACGAAAAAAAAGCUGUCUCUUUCUAAUUUUAUAAAACUUGAUUUUUAGGUGAAGAAGCCUAAAUUAGAUUGAAAGACAAGAAGACCCUAUCGAGCUUUAAAAAACUUUAUUAAAAUAAAACAGCUAAAAGAGAUUUGUUAUAAUAAAAAAUUUUAGUUGGGGCGACUAUGGAACAAACAAAGCUUCCAUUAUAAUAUUAAAGCUUUUUAGCUAGGAUCCAAAACUUUUGAUUAAAAGAAUUAGUUACCGUAGGGAUAACAGCAUAAUCUUUUUUGAGAGUUCUUAUCGAAAAAAAUGUUUGUGACCUCGAUGUUGGACUAGAAUAUCCUAAAUGAUGCAGAAGUCUUUAAGGGUUGGUCUGUUCGACCAU